GACUGAGCUGAAACUUCAAUGCUUGACAUGUAUGAUAAUCCUGGUUGAGCAUGAAACGACUGAACAAAUGAACAACGAAACAGCACAGCAGUUUUCGCCCUCUGCCUCCUUUAUAACCUGGAGCAGGAACACAAGACGCAGGCUGUCGGUCCAAACAGCGAAGGUCUGAGCUGCAGCGCUCUGGUCGGAGCCAACUCUUUGAGCCAAUUUAUGUUUGAUCCGAAAAUGUGGUCGGAGGCGCUUUGUGGAUGGUGUGACGCAGGCCUGAUGCUCUAUGCCACGUCGCCGUCCGCCUCUCAAAUGUUGUAACAAUGCGGAGGGCUCCGUCUAGCUCCGCAUUUGCAUGGUAGGUGAGGGCGGGAGGUCCUGUAUAAACACAAACUCACCUCCUUGACAACUUCCUUCACAACAGCUCUGCUCGGCGAAGUGCAAGAAGUAUGAAUGCCCUGACUUUUGCAGAGACCAUAUCACCGCAAAUUAUAUCACCGCGAUUGUGGCGCCGCCAGGCAGCUGUUAUUCAUAUUUUUGAUCAAGUUUUGCCUGGUGAAUUGUAUUGCUCAUGACACCAUUCAAUGGGUGACCUGUCAUGAACCUGUGAUUUGUUGUAUAAGAAUUUGCCCCAAACUUAACGCUUUGUAUUCAGGACAAAAAGAUCACGCAAACAGGAGGCAUGUAUUGGAAUAUUUUUAUUCCCUUCACUGUCAUUUGGGUUAAUAUUGUGGAGUAAUUACAAUGUUGCUGAUCCAUCCUCAGUUUUCUCAUGAUCAAAACCAUUAAACUCUGCUUUAAAAUCA